rnacentral:misc_RNA from 1 species
UCUCCGUUGGUGAACCAGCGGAGGGAUCAUUAUCGAGUUUAUAACUCCCAAACCCUAUGUGAACUUACCACUUGCUGCUUCGGCGCGCGCUUCGGCGCCGCCGAGGACACUUAAACUCUUUGUUUUUAUAAGCAUUUCUGAGUGGCCGAAAGGCAAAAUACGAAUGAAUCAAAACUUUCAACAACGGAUCUCUUGGUUCUG